AAAGGCUAAUCACGGUUUAAAAUAAGGGACCUUAAAAUAACGCUCAGUGCUUUUAGAUACAUAUAAUCACAAUACAAACAUUGUAAAGGUGACCUACACGGCGGCGGAAAGUCUCUCUCCUUUGCCGGAUCCGGCGCCGACAACGAAGGUAGACCUCACCAAACUCUUCUCUUUCUUCUCGUCCACCGUAAUCUGCUGCUGCCUGCACUCUAAGCUACAAAACGCCCUAUCUCCUCUGCUUAAAUUAUAGCAAUUAAAAUCGUUAAUUAAUUCCUUAUUAAAUACAUCCAAAACCACUAGGUUAAGCUUAAUUAUAUAUAAAUGAUUAAGUAGAAAGGUAAUUUCACGUAAAUAUGUAAAAGAAAUAAAUACCUAUACAUAUAGAUGUCUCGGCCAGGAACAAGAAGGCGUUUACAGAGGGAGCAGGAUCUCAGAAAAUCUGCUCCGGCGUGAGUGGAGUGAUCUGCUGAGUGUCUCCUCUGUGUACCUCUCGGUGAGACCGUCGCUAAGAGCCGUUGAUCUAACAGUCCAUGAUGAGCCUGGCGCUGUUCAUCAACGGUCACGAGCUUACCUUUCGGAUUACUCAACAUCUGAACUUGAUGAUCGGACGGCUCCUCUGGCUCGUUAGGUAAGUUCAAGUCGAACUUUAUCUCCGACAGACUCGUCGUUCUCUUUAUCUGUGGUCUCUGUCUCUUCCCUAACAACAUCUUAUUCUUGUUUUUUUAUUUCUUGUUCCUCUCUUUUUUAGGGUUUAUGCUCUGAGUGAACAGAGCAAAAGCUUAAGAAAAAGUGGGAGGAAGUGAAAGAAAAGAGACUAAAAGAAGAGCCAUAAACUGAGGAGUAAAUCUGAACCGUUGAUUGUUUCUGAUCUGAUUCUUUUCCCAUCAUGUUG
rnacentral:lncRNA from 1 species